rnacentral:tRNA from 1 species
UGGCUCAAAGGGAUGGGGCACUGGCCUCAUAUGCCGGAGGUGGCUGGUUCAAACCCAGC